GGGGAAUUUUCCGCAAUGGGCGAAAGCCUGACGGAGCAAUACCGCGUGAGGGAGGAAGGCUUUUGGGUUGUAAACCUCUUUUCUUAAGGAAGAAGAUCUGACGGUACUUAAGGAAUCAGCAUCGGCUAACUCCGUGCCAGCAGCCGCGGUAAUACGGAGGAUGCAAGCGUUAUCCGGAAUUAUUGGGCGUAAAGCGUCCGCAGGUGGCCUUUCAAGUCUGCUGUCAAAGACCAGAGCUCAACUCUGGGCCGGCGGUGGAAACUGGGAGGCUAGAGUACGGUAGGGGUAGAGGGAAUUCCCAGUGUAGCGGUGAAAUGCGUAGAGAUUGGGAAGAACACCAGUGGCGAAGGCGCUCUACUGGACCGAAACUGACACUCAGGGACGAAAGCUAGGGGAGCGAAAGGGAUUAGAUACCCCUGUAGUC
rnacentral:rRNA from 1 species